GAGCAUCGAACAGUCACCAGGGCUUAGGCACAUCUCGCCGAAGGUAAAGAACUCUUCGAUUGAAAGCACACACUGCAUCGUAGUAACAAUGGCGAAGAACUCGUCGACCUCCGCCCAGCUGCUUCUCGUCGUCCUCAUGUUACUGGUUUAUGUCGGCGGCAUCCUCGCACGAGGUGGACCAAGCACCUGCUCCCCUGAACAGCAAUCCGACUGCCCUUCAAUCCAUGGACGAUAGGGCGGAAUCCACGGGCCGUUUCUAUGCGGUGGGAUUUGGAAGAAGAUUCCUUUUGGCCUAGCAAGUUUACAACAUGAAACAACUAUACUCUGUGUUCUUUUUGCAUGCUUGUGUGUCGUGCUUUACCAAUAUAAUUAAUAUUUGCCCAUACUACAAUAAAAAAGUUUGGAGAAGUUUAUGAGUA